rnacentral:rRNA from 1 species
UACGGGGGGGGCAAGCGUUGUUCGGAAUUACUGGGCGUAAAGGGCUCGUAGGCGGCCAACUAAGUCAUACGUGAAAUCCCUCGGCUUAACCGGGGAACUGCGUCUGAUACUGGAUGGCUUGAGAUUGGGAGAGGGAUGCGGAAUUCCAGGUGUAGCGGUGAAAUGCGUAGAUAUCUGGAGGAACACCGGUGGCGAAGGCGGCGUUCUGGACUGCAACUGACACUGAGGAACGAAAGCCAGGGGAGCAAACGGG